CCUACGGGAGGCAGCAGUGGGGAAUAUUGGGCAAUGGAGGAAACUCUGACCCAGCGACGCCGCGUGCGGGAUGAAGGCCUUCGGGUUGUAAACCGCUUUCAGUAGGGAAGAAGCGAAAGUGACGGUACCUACAGAAGAAGCACCGGCUAACUAUGUGCCAGCAGCCGCGGUAAUACAUAGGGUGCAAGCGUUGUCCGGAAUUAUUGGGCGUAAAGAGCUCGUAGGUGGUUCGUCACGUCGGAUGUGAAAAUCUGGGGCUCAACCCCAGACCUGCAUUCGAUACGGGCGAUCUAGAGUGUGGUAGGGGAGACUGGAAUUCCUGGUGUAGCGGUGGAAUGCGCAGAUAUCAGGAGGAACACCAAUGGCGAAGGCAGGUCUCUGGGCCAUUACUGACACUGAGGAGCGAAAGCGUGGGGAGCGAACAGGAUUAGAUACCCUGGUAGUCCACGCCGUAAACGGUGGGCACUAGUUGUGGGAACCUUCCACGGUUUCUGCGACGCNGCACGCAUAGUCGCCCGCCGUCGGGAGUACGAGCGCGAGAGUAAACGUACGUAAGUAGUAGUUAGAGUGUUGAGACGNGCGACGGACGACGACGAGGAGGAGG
rnacentral:rRNA from 1 species